rnacentral:lncRNA from 1 species
AUUUGGUUUAAAUCUGACCCUUGUCCUCCUAGAAAGUAGAAGAUACGAUAAAGAUUUUGGCUUUGGGGACCAGCUCUCGGGAAGAAAGGACUGCAGGAUGGAGGAGGGUUUUGACUUGCCCUGGUGUGUGUGUGUAAACUGGGAUCCGGAGUUUGACAGCAGAGGAGAGACUUCUGGUGUGAAGGGCAGAGCGAUCCUGAUCUUACAGUUCUCAAAGAGCAAGCAAAUGUCCUCUUUCCAAGCCUCACAUUUAGACUGACUGCUGGCAGAUAGAAAACUUCUUGAAGGAGGCCUCGGCUUUGAAGGUUUGUUGUAAGACCGUAACACCUAACUCAGGGGUGGAAGUGGGUGCUCUGCCUUAGCCUUCCCAUGGUUACACCAAGAGGAUCUGGACGACCACUGCUCCUGAGAGGCCAAUGUUUCUACUUCGUGGCUUUAACCAGUGUGCUCUGGCUGCCAUCUGCACAGACCCGAGAGUCUUUUCUUCCACAGAGGUUUCACCUUCAACUGCCUACAGCAUUUGGUCUCUUCUGGAGGAAUUUAAGAGGUAUCUCUUAUUUUUAUAAUAAUAAUAUUAUUACAGGGAAUUCCCCUCACGGUGCAGUGGAAAUGAAUCUGACUAGGAACCAUGAGGUUACGGGUUUGAUCCCUGGCCUCGCUCAGUGGGUUAAGGAUCUGGUGUUGCCGUGA